rnacentral:lncRNA from 1 species
AUGUUAAUUUUACCGAAGAAAGAACUGAGACUCACAGAUGUAUUUGCCAAAGGUCUCACACCUGGUAUGUGGCAGAGCUGGGAUUCGAAGCCACAAAUUUUUCAUCAUAAUGCUCAGAUGUCUACAGCCUCAAAUAGCCACCCCUCCCUACCCACAGGUACCAUGAAAGUUCCAGGAGCCUGGAGUCGAGGCUGCUGGUUCUGUGGACAGACCCCUGCCAGAAGAGUGCUGCUGGCCCCGGACCACACUUGGAGAAUCCUGGCACAGAGAGGGAUCAGUGUCUGGGCCCCAGGGUGUAACCCGAAUCCGGCUGCGGUCUUGGCCCCUGGAGACUGAGGCAGGUUCUGGAAAAGUGGCUGUGUCUUUCACUGUGAACUUUAAGGGUGUUCAGGCAGGACCUGACAUGGGGAGGACUCUCUUGGCUGUCAGCUUAUUCUGAAAUUGGAAUUUCCGAUGCACCUGGAAGAGUCCAGAAGGGGACCAUUGUUAUUUAUAACCACAGCUUCCUUCUCAAGAGAGUAAAUCCUGCUUCAUUAAAUAAAGGGCCCCUUUGUUCUGAAGCCUCUUACUGGUCUGGUCGGGCAGAGAGUCCUGGUAGCCAGUUGGGGGGAGAAGGUGGGGUGGGAGACCCAACUGCCUACACUGAUC